rnacentral:rRNA from 1 species
GAUGAACGCUGGCGGCGUGCUUAACACAUGCAAGUCGAACGGGAAACCUUUUAAUGAAGCUUCGGCAGAUUUAGCUGGUUUCUAGUGGCGGACGGGUGAGUAACGCGUGGGUAACCUGCCUUAUACAGGGGGAUAACAGUCAGAAAUGACUGCUAAUACCGCAUAAGCGCACAGGACCGCAUGGUCCGGUGUGAAAAACUCCGGUGGUAUAAGAUGGACCCGCGUUGGAUUAGCUUGUUGGUGGGGUAACGGCUCACCAAGGCGACGAUCCAUAGCCGGCCUGAGAGAGGGAACGGCCACAUUGGGACUGAGACACGGCCCAGACUCCUACGGGAGGCAGCAGUGGGGAAUAUUGCACAAUGGGGGAAACCCUGAUGCAGCGACGCCGCGUGAAGGAAGAAGUAUCUCGGUAUGUAAACUUCUAUCAGCAGGGAAGAUAGUGACGGUACCUGACUAAGAAGCCCCGGCUAACUACGUG